AUGAGGCAGAACCAGGUGAACGGCGGCAUUCAGAAUCGGCUGGAACAAGAAGUCCUGCACUACGACUACCACGCCUCUUCUUCGACAUCUUUCUGCUGGCAGUUUUCAGGUUUGCCGUCCUCAUCCUGGCCUACGCUGUCUGCAAGCUUCGUCACUGGUGGGCCAUCGCGAUCACCACUGCAGUCAGCUGUGCUUUCCUGAUUGCUAAAGUCAUUUUGUCGAAGCUGCUGAGUCUGGGGGCCUUUGGGUACCUGCUGCCCAUCAUCUCCUUCGUUCUGGCCUGGAUAGAAACGUGGCUGCUCGACUUCAAGGUCCUGCCUCAGGAGAUCGAAGACGAAAACAGACAUCAGUCCAUCAUAGAUACAAGUAGGGCUCCUCUCCUGGGUCCAGGUCCUUUAUCUGAUGGGCAGUUCUACUCUCCGCCAGAGUCUUUGGCAGACUCUGACGAGGAGCUGGAUGAUAAACACGAACCUGAAAAAGGGCUCAUUACACAAAUGACUUAACAGGAUCUCCGAUCCUGAACAUGGAGGGAUUUUUGGGUCCUCCAGCGUUGUGCUACUGAGGGGAAAACUUCUGCCUUACACCUUCAGCCAUUUUAGUUUGUAUUUGUUCAUAUCCACAAAUGCAGCUCACGUUCUGAUAUCAGCCUUCUGCACGUACACCGCGACCGGGAAAGUGCCACUUAAAAGUUUCAGUGUCAUGAACUCUGGUUACUGUAUGAGUUUUGUUUCUCCACCUUUAAGGAACUCGAGACCUUACAAGAGAUUUAUCAGAAAUAAAUCAUUACAUCCUUAUCAGUAUCCAUCCAUAAUUCAAAACAUUACAUCACACUUAAAAAAAUAUAUAUUUACACUUUCAAUUUAAAAACAGAGUGUUAAUGUCUUAUAUCCAGCAUAAUGUUUACUUAUAAUUCGGUGAUCAUUUUCUUAUGCUUCGGUUGAGUCACUGCAAAGGAAAAUAAGCUCAUGGAUGCCACAGAAAGGAUUGUUCAGCCAAUAUUGAGCCUGCAGACCAAACUGUAGCAGAAAGAGAAAGUCAAACUCUUAGAGAUGUUUAUGAUUACUUCAAUGUCUUAAAAAUGUGCAUGAAAGAAUAUUAAGGUAACAUAUAGAGAUGUGAACGAUACUGUUUGUUUUGAAACGAGAGUGAAGGAUUGUGUGUUAAAGAAAACGAGCCAUAAACGUGCAGCAUGUACACUCGGAGAUUUGGGUUUAGUGCACUGAACAGAAGGGACGCUGCUCUCGAAAGCUGCUGUGACGGGCGGGGAAACGUUCUAAUGCAAAUGUACAUAUCUUCAUGCAUGCUUUGCAAGCUCAGUGGAUGUUUAUUCUUUUUUUUCUUUUUUAAAGAAAAGCCCGUCUGUAUAACAGAAUCAUUAAAAUGUUAAAGGUUA